UACGUAGGGUGCGAGCGUUGUCCGGAAUUAUUGGGCGUAAAGGGUGCGUAGGCGGUUCGUUAAGUCUGUCGUGAAAUCCCCGGGCUCAACCUGGGAAUGGCGAUGGAUACUGGCGAGCUAGAGUGUGUCAGAGGAUGGUGGAAUUCCCGGUGUAGCGGUGAAAUGCGUAGAGAUCGGGAGGAACAUCAGUGGCGAAGGCGGCCAUCUGGGACAACACUGACGCUGAAGCACGAAAGCGUGGGGAGCAAACAGG
rnacentral:rRNA from 1 species